AAAACGGCUUUACCCAAAGCCAUCAAAUUUUGAAUAACGUAAUUCU
rfam:Stegodyphus mimosarum contig106050, whole genome shotgun sequence.